AAGUUUUGGAAGCAAUAACUCAAGCAAUGACUGUAAUGCCCCAAUUUUUACCCGGCCCAUAAUAAACCAAUAAAAGUCCAGUUUUUUUUUUUUUUACAAACCCAAUUAAUAAACCCAAAUUACAUCAGCCAAGCGAGGCUCCUCCCCGUGCACACAUCGGCCUCCCCCACGUGUGUCUCGCCUCCAGCUGUACCUGUAGCAACAAACAACCAACGACAACAGCAAAAUAAAGGGAAAAACGACUAGUCUAUUAACUUGGUAACACUUAAAUUAGUUUAAUUAAAACCGACGACUAGUCUUUUAAUAUUAGUGAAAUUAUAGAUUAAGUCUAUGUUCUCCAAUUUGAUCAUUCUUAAUCCUUAUAUUUUUUGGAAAUUUGAAAUCCUAAUCUUAAUGCAACAUUAACUGACUUGUUUUUAAUAAUAUGAAGAAAUAGCAAUCUGUCAUGAUAUUACACAUGUUAUACUAUAUUUGCUAUAUAAGAUUUUGAAAAUAUUAGUGUAAUAGCCCAUUUUUGCCCGGGCCCAAAAAAAACCAAAAAUAAAUAAAUUAACAGUCCCAGUCCAUUUACAACAAACCCAACAGGCCCAAAACCCUAACGGCCGAAUAUGGCCUAAAAACUAAACGAAAUCAGAGAACCCUAGGGUUCCCUCCUCUCUCUCGCGCCGCAGCCUGCCCCAUGUGCACCCUUGGCGCGCACAACGCCCAAUGAUAACGCCUUCACCAGUGUUGCACCAAAAUGGCAAAGAUUUCUGCCCAUUGACUCCCCAUGACCUGCAAAACAGAUGAAAACAACAACCAAGAGACAAAAACAGUAGAGGCAGCGUAAUAGAAGUAUUUAAAAUAGUGAAAAAUAAAAGAAAAAGAUAUAUUGUAUUUUGUCUUUGGUUAUAUAAGCCCAGAAACAAAACGAUGUAAAAGGGGGGCUUCUUCCUUUUUUACGAACAUUAAUAAAAAAAACAAAAACAAAAAACAGAUCGAAGGUGAUUCUUCUUUACUUUUUUUCAUUCCUUUUUUAUUUUUAUUUUUAUUUUUUUCUACAUACUAAAUAAUAAAAAUACAAGAAGAAGAGGCUUACUAGAGGCACUCGGUGACCGAGCCUAGGGGGCAUUCUCCAUCGUCAGGGGGUCUACGCCACCGUCGGGCCAGAUCCGAAAGGAUGUUGGGGCUCUUCUCUUUCGUUUCGGCGUUGAGAGGGCUCAACCCCUGAGGGCACUGCAAGACAAGGGCCGAAAAGCCCAUUUUCUUUAUCACCAUCCACGGCCAUGACGGUCACGUGACGGACGGACGGUGGAACCCUAGCCGAAUUUUGGGGAGGGGUUGAAGUUUGAGAGAAUUUUGUUUGAUUUUUUUAGAGGAAAG
rnacentral:lncRNA from 1 species